UGCUUCUUGGUGUAACAGGCAACACGCCGGGCUCUGAACCCGGAGAGUCCAGGUUCGACCCCUGGAGAAGCAU
rnacentral:tRNA from 1 species